rnacentral:rRNA from 1 species
CCUACGGGUGGCAGCAGUGGGGAAUAUUGGGCAAUGGGCGCAAGCCUGACCCAGCAACGCCGCGUGAAGGAAGAAGGCUUUCGGGUUGUAAACUUCUUUUGUCAGGGACGAAGCAAGUGACGGUACCUGACGAAUAAGCCAAGGCUAACUACGUGCCAGCAGCCGCGGUAAUACGUAGGUGGCAAGCGUUAUCCGGAUUUAUGGGGUGUAAAGGGCGUGUAGGCGGGAAUGCAAGUCCGAGGUGAAAACUAUGGGCUCAACCCAUAGCAUGCAUUUGAAACUGUAUUUCUUGAGUGCUGGAGAGGCAAUCGGAAUUCCGUGUGUAGCGGUGAAAUGCGUAGAUAUAAGGAGGAACACCAGUGGCGAAGGCGGCUUGCUGGACAGUAACUGACGCUGAGGCGCGAAAGCGUGGGGAGCAAACAGGAUUAGAUACCCUUGUAGUC